ensembl:ncRNA C48A7.13 ncRNA
CCCACUUUUUAAUCAUUAAAUUAAUAUGAAGACGUGAGAAUAAGAGGAGAAAGAGUGAAAGAAUAGAAUUAUCGUGGUGCUCUCCGCUCUGCCGUCCUGUUUUAAAAUUCUCUCCCUCACUGCUGGGUCGCUGCUGCUGGUCCCCAGCUUUUCCGAAUUUUCUUUUCUUUUCCCUUUUCUUUCUUCGUUUUCCUCUCGAAUUCUUCUUUUUUUGUCCUUCU